AAACCGCGAGAUCAUGACCUGAGCCGAAGUCGGACGCCCAACCGACCGAGCCACCCAGGCGCCCCAGGAAUCGCUCGUUUAAACGACCUGUGGCCAUUCAGGGGUCUGAACGUCCUUGUGGCGGGUGUGGGUUGCCUGGGUUUUCGUGGAGUGUUUUCCAAGACCCAGGCGCCCCAUUCUUCAUUCCCCACCUAUCCCAAGGAACCCUAACUAUGAGGACCGUGUAUCUUAUGCUUCAGGAGCCUAGGAACAAGACAACGGCAGUGGAGGAGCAGUUAGUACAAGAGGUGGAGCGCCUCCAGGCAAAGGUAGAGGCCGGGAAAGCCUGUUUCUUAGAGAAGUACAAAGAGUGUCAACGACUCCACAAACAGAUCAGGCAACUCAGGGCUGCUGCGCUGGAAGUGAAGCAGGACCAGAAGAGCCAGCAAGAGCCCAUGGGGAUGGGGAGCCAGGAGCCAGCAGUGAGCACUGUCGUCGGGUAGUCCCUCCCGCAUUACUACCUCAGGGCCGGCUAGAAGCACACGGCAUUUCCGGGCACCAGCAUUCAAAUAAAAAAAUCUUGGAAAAAA